AGAGAUGUUUGGAACAUACCUCUCAAGGAGCUUAACCUCUAAUAAAGGAGAACAUUGUGCAAAUCAUACAUGUCACUAUAAUAGAGACAUGGAAUUCCACAGGAGAGCCAGGUCAUGGAAGCAACCUAAAUGCCCAUCAACAGAUGAAUGGAUAAAGAAGAUGUGGCACAUGUAUACAAUGGAAUAUCACUCAGCCAGAAAAAGGAAUGAAACUGAGUUAUCUAUAGUGAGGUGGAUGGACCUAGAGACUGUCACACAGAGUGAAAAGGUUUUGAACUGAUGACUCAGCUACAUGAGGAAAGAGACACACCCUAUCAGCAGCA